UUUUCCAUUCCCGCUCGGCUUCCCACCUUCCCCAUCUCUUGAACCAAAAUCCCCAAUCUGACAAACCAAAAAUCCCCUUCAACCAAAAAUCCCUAAUUCUUACUGCUCCGCCGAAUUCGAGAAGAUCUGACUAAGAGGGUAUCCAGGCUCCAAUCUGUGGAGAUCGAAGCCAUGGCCGUUUGCCACUCAUUUUCCAUGAUUGUACUAACAGUUGUAGCCACGACUACUGCCAGCGAGUGAGGAAGAGAAGAGAUGAGAGGCAAACGUUUAGAGAUGGAGGUGCAAGAAGAAAGUGAAGCAAAGUUGUUUUUUUUUUUGAAAUUGGAGAGGCGAAAUAGACAGCUUUGCAAAGUUGUCUCCCAGACGAUAUUGCCCUCAAAAUCGCCUCUUCCCUUCAGCUAUCAGAUGUGUGCUCGUUGGGUAGUUGCUCGUGGUUUUGGCGCGAGUUGGGUGGGUCGGAUUGUGUGUGGCAGUCUCUGUACAGAGACAGAUGGCCAGCCCUUGAUUUGGGCAGAGACUCUUCUUUAGCUCCACAAAUCAAAACCCAUCAGCUUGACCCAUAAAUUCAGUCCUCCUCCAUGAAUUAUUUGAAGGUUACUACUUUUGUCAAGCACAAAGGGAAGAUUUCUUUCAGCGAGCUAAGCCUCAUGAGGGUCACCCUACAAUAUUAAGGAUGCAAAAACUCGCAAAAGAGUUGGGGGUAGUGAUACCAGUUAGCUUCUUUGAAGAAGCAAACAAUGCCCAUUACAAAUCAGUAGCCAUAAUUGAUGCUGACGGCGCGGAUCUUGGACUCUACAGAAAGUCCUAUAUUCUAGAUGG